rnacentral:rRNA from 1 species
UACGGAAGGGGCAAGCGUUGUUCGGAAUCAUUGGGCGUAAAGGGCGCGUAGGUGGUUCUGUAUGUCUAUCGUGAAAGCGUACGGCUCAACCGUAUUUUGUCGGUAGAAACUGCAGGACUUGAGGCUGGGAGGGGCUGGUGGAAUUCCCUGUGUAGCGGUGAAAUGCGUAGAUAUCAGGAGGAAUACCGGUGGCGAAAGCGACUCUCUGGACGGCAACUGACGCUGAGGCACGAAAGCGUGGGGAGCAAACAGG